CAAGUGGGCUGGGUCUCCCACUCUUAUGUCUUCACAGCCAGCUCACCUGCACCCCUGCCAACAGGGACAGCUCUACUGUGUGCCCAGGAACUCUGAAGAUCCUCGAGGGACCCACUUCCUCCCUCACCCCAUCCCUUUGUGUCAGCCAGCAACACCUCCAAUACCAGGAGACUCUGCCUGGGAAUCAGGACUCCACUGAACCUGAUGGCAGAUGCAGCUUUCACCUUCCUGCAGACCCUCUCAGCCUUCCCCAUCUAGCCCAUUCCCACUAUUUUCAGUCCUUAGUAACCAGAGACACUUUCUUCCUGGGACUCCCAGUGGCCACAACUGGCAGGGACUCAGAAGCUCUUCCAACCAGGCAACUCACAGCCACCGGAGUCCCCUGAGAUCCAGAGAGGGCAAAAGAGACCAAGGAAUGAAAUAUCAACCCAACAAAGACUAGCUAGAUACCAACACCUAGAAUUACAGUCACUCCCAACCCAGAUGCCUAGACACCAGCAUAAAAAUGUAAUCAAUGGAAGCCUGGACAAUAUGUCACCACCACAGCCCAGCAACCUUAAUACAGAAGGCCCUGAGAAGUGCAUUAGAGCUGAAGCACAAGACGAGGACUUCAACAUAGCUAUUAUGAAUAUGUUCAAGGACCUUAAAGAGGAUAGGAAUGAGUCUGCUAAUAAAGUCUGUGAAAACACAAUCAAACAGUGGAAUAAAGUGAUGAAAACAAUUCAAGAUAUAAAAGUAGAAAUAGAACCAUUAAAGAAGACCCAAAUGGAAGUAAAACUGGAAAUGAAAAAUUUAGGAAGUCAUUUUGGCUAAGGAAGGUAACUGUAGAUCUUCGCCUCCUCCUCCUCUUCUCCUCCAGAUCAGUCCCCAUCCAGUCUCAUUCCUAGCUGUAGACCACCUGUUGAGGCCCACCUUUCCCAUCUUCAGGGGAUCACACAGGUCCUCCCCU